AUUUUUCUUUUGAACUUUCUGUGUACACAUUUUUAUGUAAACGGAAAUGGUGAUGGCACUGACAAUGUUGAGAAGUAACAAGACCUCUACAGUUCAUCUUAAAUGCUAUGUGGAGAGAAGGUGUUCAAAUGUUUGAACCAAACAUCAACAUGAGGAUUAUUCAGCUGCAGCUUUAUGUGUUAAUGUGGUGUCAAGCUGCAGUGACUUUAGAUCAACUAACAGAUUUGGGACAAAAUGUGACUAUAAACUGUGAUUUGGAUGCAAAUGAGGUUUAUUGGAUUUUCCUGAAACAAUCAGAUUCUCAUACAGUGAUACUGCGCUCAUUCUCAAACACAAAAUUAGUUUUUCACUUAAAUAAAACAUUUAAAAAUAAAUAUUCAGUACAAUCUAAACACCGUCUGGUAAUAUAUAAUAUUACUGUAGAUGAGUUAGGAGUUUAUUACUGUAUGCACUCAGAUACACCUCCAAAACUCAGUGACAGCACAAGAAUCCACA